UUGAGUCUAUGUAUGGGAAGAAACGAGACAGAAGACAACAUACAAAGAGAUUCCCAAUUCAAAAGUCAGACACAGGGCUGAUGACAGAUCUGUAAACCCGUUAUGUUCAGAUGUUAUUACAGGACCUUAACCAUCCCAGGAAAAAAGAAGGAAAGGAAGCAUAGAGCUCCUGUGCGGCGCAGCACGGCACCACAAAUACAAAGGCAGCCAAAUACAAAUGGAGACUAUUUCCCACCAAGCCACAGCAUGAGGUCACAAGCAGGAUGUCAGUCCAACCUGUACACCAGUCCUAGUCUUACCAGUGUAUGUUAACUAACCUCUAGCCUACCUGUCAAUCAUGGCCUGUCUUAGAGCUAACAAGGAAAAACAGGUUACUACAUAAAUAACAAAUAAUGGUUCCUGAUA
rnacentral:lncRNA from 1 species